rnacentral:rRNA from 1 species
CCUACGGGAGGCAGCAGUGGGGAAUAUUGGACAAUGGGGGCAACCCUGAUCCAGCCAUGCCGCGUGUGUGAAGAAGGCCCUCGGGUUGUAAAGCACUUUCAGUGAGGAAGAACGCCUGGUGGUUAAUACCCAUCAGGAAAGACAUCACUCACAGAAGAAGCACCGGCUAACUCCGUGCCAGCAGCCGCGGUAAUACGGAGGGUGCGAGCGUUGAUCGGAAUUACUGGGCGUAAAGCGCGCGUAGGUGGCUUGAUAAGCCGGUUGUGAAAGCCCCGGGCUCAACCUGGGAACGGCAUCCGGAACUGUCAAGCUAGAGUGCAGGAGAGGAAGGUAGAAUUCCCGGUGUAGCGGUGAAAUGCGUAGAGAUCGGGAGGAAUACCAGUGGCGAAGGCGGCCUUCUGGACUGACACUGACACUGAGGUGCGAAAGCGUGGGUAGCAAACAGGAUUAGAUACCCGAGUAGUC